AGAGGGCAGGGAAGGCAGGUGGGUGAUGAUCUCCCACCUGGGACCUACAGGGAGAGCCUCUCCUGAGGCCAUUUCCCCCGCGGCAGGCCCACAGCCUGAGCCCCUCAGUAGGAGGAGUAACCCCUAGCCCGGCUGAGCCCUCUCCAGACCAGUAACCUCCAGGCCCUGCCCUCAGUGGAGACCCCUGACCCAAAGUCCAAGACAGGUGCUGGAAAGGAAGUACACAGCUCCACAGGAUCUGGAACAAGCUCAGACAAGACAAGAAGAACACUGGCUUCCACGUCAUCUCUACUGGGCAAAGAGACCCUAGGCCUUGUUUCUCGCUCAGGAGAAGGACAGCAGUAGAACCCUGUGUUGCCAUCACUCAGAGGCUUUGGCUGGAAAGGCUGCUGACCUGGGAGCUGACUGUAAAGGGCCAAAGGUCACCGAUCAAAGGCAGGCAUGCAGGAUAGGCUGGCCUUCUCUGGCACACUGUUUGCAGGGCACUUGGAUGAGCUGCGCAAGAAUGGAAAGUAAGAGCCCUGUGUGCACAGCCUCCUGAGCCCAGCUCCUCAGGUCCCACCACAUCAGGGAGACCUGCAAGGGUGCUGACCCCUGGAUCCUAGACAGUGAACCACAGAGAAUGCGACAGACAGAUCCCAGCAGCAUUUUUCUCUGAAUAUCGGUUCCUGUGCCUUCCUUCUAUUCACCUGUCUGUUCUUGAAGACAACAACUGGGUACAAUCAGGCUAUUGGAAUAGCUAGAAGGAAAUACCUGAAACUGUUGAACUGCAACCAGU